GCCACAUCACAUUGAAACACCAGUUCUCGUAUGAUCACUGAAGUUAAGAAACAUUGAGCCUGAUCCAUACCUAGAUGGGUGACUGUUUGGGAAUACCAGGGGCUGUA